GGGAUCAGGACUGAACACAGCUGCUCACCAUGGAGAGUGUUUUCCUGGUGGCUGUUUUCAAAGGUGUCCAGUGUGAGGUGCAGCUGGUACAGAGUCUGGGGGAGGCCUGGUGCAACCUGGGGGUUCCCUGCAACUCUCCUGUGCAGCCUCUGGAUUCACCUUCAGUGAUUACUACAUGGAAUGGGUCCACCAGGCUCCAGGGAAGGGGCUGGAGUGGGUUGGUCAUAUAAGAAACAAAGCUAAUAGUUACAGCACAGCAUACGCUGCAUCUGUAAAAGACCGAUUCACCAUCUCCAGAGAGGACGCCAAGAACACCCUGUACCUGCAAAUGAGCAGUCUGAGAACCGAGGACACCGCCACCUAUUACUGUACCAGAGACACAGUGUCAAGCAACCUGCUGACAGCAGACAUCAGGAAGCUGCACUCAACCCCCUGA